CCCGCUGAACUUAAGCAUAUCAAUAAGCGGAGGAAAAGAAACCAACAGGGAUUGCCUCAGUAACGGCGAGUGAAGCGGCAACAGCUCAAAUUUGAAAGCUGGCCCUCUGGGCCCGCGUUGUAAUUUGCAGAGGAUGCUUCGGAUGCGGUCCGGCCUAAGUUCCUUGGAACAGGACGUCAUAGAGGGUGAGAAUCCCGUAUGCGGCCGGGCGCCAACUCCGUGUGAAGCUCCUUCGACGAGUCGAGUUGUUUGGGAAUGCAGCUCUAAACGGGUGGUAAAUUUCAUCCAAAGCUAAAUAUUGGCCAGAGACCGAUAGCGCACAAGUAGAGUGAUCGAAAGAUGAAAAGCACUUUGGAAAGAGAGUUAAACAGUACGUGAAAUUGUUGAAAGGGAAGCGCUUGCAACCAGACCUGCGCGCUGCCGAUCAUCUGGCGUUCUCGCCGGUGCGCUCGGCUGCGCGCGGGCCAGCAUCAGCUCGGGCGGCCGGAUAAAGGCCGCGGGAAUGUGGCUCCCCCGGGAGCGUUAUAGCCCGCGGCGCAAUGCGACCUGCCUGGGCUGAGGACCGCGCUUCGGCUAGGAUGCUGGCGUAAUGGUUGUAAGCGACCCGUCUUGAAACACGG
rnacentral:rRNA from 1 species